UAUCCAUUCCCUCAGAUUUUUUUUUCAUCCAUUGCAAUUAUAUAUUUUUUUAUCAGUUCCCUCAUAUUUUGUAUUAAUUCCCUCAGGUUUUUAAUUCCCUCAAUUUUAAUAAUCCUCGGAAUAUGCGUGUUUUUCCAUUCAUUGUGUCUGCACCCCUUUGCCAGAAAUKAUGCUGCUGAUGGAACCAUAGUCUGAGAUCAAUUAAAACAGAUUGACUGCAGUGCCGUCGAGGGCAUAACGGAUGCUCAACUCACACAAUACGUGCCCAGAUUUGGUGAUCUUAAGGCAGUACUGCAAAAGAGAAGUGGCCGCUCUGCAAAAGAGAAGUGGCCGCUCUCCAGGGAUCAAGUGUAUCCAAAGCUGCAGAGAGGGAUAUAGAACAUUUUAAACACUGAAAGAAAAGUAAUGAGAAGUCAGCAAAACUUUGGAAAUGCCAACGAUUAGAAAACAGAAUGUACUUUCCAAAUUGUAUGGCUGGAACAAGUUGGUGUCAACUCAUUCUGCCAAGUCACAGAUAAAGAAAGGUGGUGAGACAAGACAAUUAAAGGCAGCAAAGAUGGUUACAAUGGCAGAGCUGUUGGAGGUGCAGAUGUCCUUGUGUCUUUAUACAGGUGCAGAUGUCCUUGUGUCUUCAGCCAUUCACGUCUACUUUGUUGAGCCCAAGAGUGACUUUGUGAGAAGCCCCAAUCACACACCUGCGGAUGUGUUUUGGAGAUCCCCCAACACCUACACAUCAUACCUUGAGAUGCCAGAGGAAUUCACCCAGGUCCUGGAUUCCAAAGUGUGGGUGAUGGACAUCAUUUAAAUCCGCGGUUCCUCAGUGCGCAUUCGCCCCACUCAGGAGUAGCCUACUCUGUAAAAACUCCAUGUGUUUGAGU